GGUGAACGUUGGCGGUGCGUCUAAUACAUGCAAGUCGAGCGAGGCUUCGAGCCGCGCGGCCGACGGCUGAGUAACACGUUGGUAACUACCUCAAACUCAGGGAUAACGUCGAGAAAUCGGUGCUCAUCCCGGAUGGUCCCGUAAGGCUAAAGUUUUUACGGUUUGAGAGGUGCCUGCGUCCUAUCAGGUAGUUGGUGAGGUAACGGCUCACCAAGCCUAUGACGGGUAACUGGUCUGAGAGGAUGACCAGUCAGAGGGAAACUGAGACACGGUUCCCACUUCUACGGAAGGCAGCAGGAAAGAAACGUCGAAAAUGGACGAAAGUCUGAUGGAGCGAAAGCGCGUGAAGGAAGAAGGCUCUUGGGUCGUAAACUGCUUUUUUGGGGGAAAAAUUCUGAUUGUACCCGAAGAAUAAGCACCGGCAAAUCACGUG
rnacentral:rRNA from 1 species